rnacentral:lncRNA from 13 species
AUGGGGGGGCCCAGACAGGGAUGGGGGUCCCAGCUGGAAUUGGGGGUCCCAGCUGGAAGGGGGGAUCCCAAACGGCAGCUCAGCUUCCCAGCAGGACACAGCUCCCAUCUGUGGCGUGGGGCAGGGAGGGGGGGCUCCAGGAAGGGUCAGAUCCUGAGCCUGGGGAUGGGGGGGACUGGGAAGGACCCCGGUGGCACUCACUCGGUGUGUCCCUGUCCCCGGAGCGGCUCGGCAGCGGGCGGGAUUCCGGGAACGCCCGGGAACGUCACCGGGGCAGCAGCUGCUCGGGACGGGGACAGGCAUCACCCAAAAAUAACCCCGACCCCACUCUCUGCCAGGCAGGGUCAGAGGGGACAGAGCCAGGACUGCCGGACACCGGCACGGCCGGAGCGUCCGAGCGCUCCUGAGGGCUCCGGCCGCUCCCGAGAGCCUGAACUGGGCAUCCCCAGACCCCCGAACCCUUUUGGGAGAGCAGGAUCCGGCCCCAGCGGCGGGACCGAAGUGGCCCAGGGGGAACCCCCAACACUGGGGGGGUCCCGGGGGUCCCGGACCCCGCAGCCGGGGGCAGAGCACGCCCGGCUGGCACAUUCCCAGGACAAGCCCUUUCCACAGCGGGAGCAGCGAGGGACAUGCCAGGAGCUUUACACACACUUGGAACAGGUUUCAGCCACUGCGACUCCCCUGCUCCGCUCUGACCCAGCCAAACCAGUCGCUCCAGUUCCCGGUGCCGGGGCUGGGCCGAUCUUGUCUCCCCGUCCCAUCGCCGGGGCACUGGAAGAGGCUUUUCCAUCCAUCGGCGGGGGUUUGGAGUGGGAGGAGCCGCUGGGGACACCGCGGUGGCUCUGGGCACCUGCUUUGGCCCCACGGUCCGCUCCAACGAGCCCCGACGGGGCCAGCAGGGGCCACUGCCGGGCUGGUCACCGUGGCGGCCACUGUGACCAUCCCUGGUUGGGGUCCCCAGCCCAGACAGGUUGUGUGGACAGCCCCAAGACCACGACAUGGAAGUGGACACUGACCCCCUGGGUUGCACGUGGUCACCCUGUCACACGGGGUCCCGUGGUCCUGUAUGGCCCAAGUCCCUAUAUGGUCCCUGUCCCUAGAUGGCCCCAUCCCUGUCCCUAG